rnacentral:rRNA from 1 species
UACGGGGGGAGCAAGCGUUGUUCGGAUUUACUGGGCGUAAAGGGCGCGUAGGCGGUCGUGACAAGUCACUUGUGAAAUCUCCGGGCUUAACUCGGAACGGUCAAGUGAUACUGUCGGACUAGAGUACAGAAGGGGCAACUGGAAUUCUCGGUGUAGCGGUGAAAUUCGUAGAUAUUCGCAAGAACACCAGUGGCGAAGGCGGCUCACUGGCCCGAUACUGACGCUGAGGCACGAAAGCGUGGGGAGCAAACAGGG